rnacentral:tRNA from 1 species
GGUGUUGUGGCGGAGUGGUUAACGCGGUUGACUCGAAAUCAACUUCCUUCGGGAGCGCAUGUUCGAAUCAUGUCAACAUCG